rnacentral:rRNA from 1 species
AGUGGAUGGGGAGCAACCUAGUUGUGCGUGUGUAAAGGUAGUGCCAAGAAAAGCGAUGAUCAUGUUGAAAAUCAAUUCCCGGUACCCGAAACCGACACAGGUGGGCAAGUAGAGAAUACUAAGGGGCGCGAGGUAACUCUCUCCAAGGAACUCGGCAAAAUGACCCCGUAACUUAGGGAGAAGGGGUGCCACCGAGAGGUGGUCGCAGUGAAGAGGCCCAGGCGACUGUUUAGCAAAAACAUAGGUCUCUGCAAACUCGAAAGAGGAGGUAUAGGGGCUGACGCCUGCCCAGUGCCGGAAGGUUAAAGAAGUUGGUCAGUUUUAGGAUGAAGCUAGCGACUGAAGCCCCGGUUAACGGCGGCCGUAACUAUAACGGUCCUAAGGUAGCGAAAUUCCUUGUCGGGUAAGUUCCGACCCGCACGAAAGGCGUAACGAUCUGGGCGCUGUCUCGGAGAGAGGCUCGGCGAAACAGGAUUGUCUGUGAAGAUACGGACUACCUGCAUUUGGACAGAAAGACCCUAUGAAGCUUUACUAUAGCUUGGAAUUGUGUUCGGGCUUCCUGUGCGCAGGAUAGGUGGGAGGCGUAGAAGGUAUUCUUGUGGGGAUACUGGAGCCAACGGUGAGAUACCACUCUCAGGAGGCUAGAAUUCUAACUUAAUUAAGGACAGUUUCAGGUGGGUAGUUUGACUGGGGCGGUCGCCUCCAAAAAGGUAACGGAGGCGUACAAAGGUUCCCUCAGACUGGUUGGAAAUCAGUCGAAGAGUGCAAAGGCAGAAGGGAGCUUGACUGCGAGAAGUACAGUUCGAGCAGGGUGGAAACACGGUCUUAGUGAUCCGACGGUGCUGUGUGGAAGGGCCGUCGCUCAACGGAUAAAAGUUACUCUAGGAUAACAGGCUGAUCUCCCCCAAGAGUUCACAUCGACGGGGAGGUUUGGCACCUCGAUGUCGGCUCAUCGCAACCUGGGGCGGAAGUACGUCCCAAGGGUUGGGCUGUUCGCCCAUUAAAGCGGUACGUGAGCUGGGUUCAGAACGUCGUGAGACAGUUCGGUCCAUAUCCGAUGUAGGCGUGAGAAUAUUGAGAGGAGCCUUCCUUAGUACGAGAGGACCGGGAAGGACGCACCGCUGGUGUACCUGUUAUGAUGCCAAUUGUAAACGCAGGGUAGCCAAGUGCGGAGAGGAUAACCGCUGAAAGCAUCUAAGUGGGAAGCCCACCUCAAGAUGAGUAUUCUGGUGUAAGGUCACGGGAAGACGACCCGUAAAUAGGCACGAGGUGGAAGUGCAGAGAUGUAUGAAGCCGAAGUGUACUAAUAGACCGUCGGCUUGAC